AUCUAAGAGCCGUGAAGCCUCCGCCUUCGCAGAGAAUCCACAGCACAACUCACCACUUGGAACGGGCAGGCCAGUAGAGAGCAACCCAAGCCCAGCCUUCAGGGCAAGCCCAACUGUUCCACCAUCUCAAAGCUCCCACUCGGGUUACAGGCUCGCGCUACCAAGCCCAGCAAGCGAUUCUUCUAGCUAGGCACUUAUUAAGAGAAAAUAUUUCUCAUCAGUUUUCGAUGUGGGAAAUUGUGCGAGAGCUUGUUUGGGGAAAAAUGGAGCAGACAACUAUCGUGUACUCAUGGUUUUUGCGUUGUAUCAUUGUUCACCAAAAACUUAGAAAUGAAUUGAAGUUGCAGCGGCGGUUCGUAUACACUGGUUGUGGUCGGGAAAUGGUGACGGUAGGAGAUGAGGAAACAGCUAGCGGAGGCAUUAUUUGGAAGCAUUGGCUUCCAAGUUCUGGUGCAAGCAAGCUGUGAAACAACUGAUUGCAGAUAAAAUGAGCUCCUAUAUAUCAAUUGCUUUGGCUGUAUACAACCAUAUAUGCUGCACUGAUAGCUACUGGAGGAGUAAAACUUAUUCUCUGGAUUUAUCGCAGAAGCUGUGAGGAGGAAAUUGUAUGAUUUUUGUUGAAGGGGGGCUUAUAUGUGAAGCAGAGAUGGGUUCUGCUGGCAGCAUCCAAUCACACCCUAUAAGCUUUGCUUCAUGAAUUCAUUUCCAUCUCACAUUAUUUUCAUACGUUUUUAUUAUUUAGUUUAAAUUGUGCCAGCUGAAGUUUUAGAUAUGAAUUGAAGUUGCAGUGGCGGGUUUGUAUUGGCUGGUUCUGGUUGGAAAAUGGUGAACAAAGCACAGAUCAACUGCAUAGCCAACAACUUCCACUUUUUUCUUUAAAAAUUCAAGAUAAAAUUUGUAUAUUUUGCUUUGAAUGUGCUCAGUUCUGAAGCCAGUGGAAGAGUCGAGAUAUAGCUCUGAGACAGGUUAUCUAAUUAAUCAUCUAAACAGGGCAAAGUUGGUAAUUGAGGAGAUUGAGAGAGAAGAAGCAUCUUUGCGUGAAGAUUUAUAUUCAUCGGACAGAAAAUUUGCAGAAUAUUACAAUAUACUUGGAGUGCGUAUCAAGCUUGGCAAUGAAAAGUAUGAUAAACAUCUACAAAUACCCAA